GUUGAACGCUGGCGGCGUGCCUAAUACAUGCAAGUCGAGCGAAGCGGGGACGGGUGAGUAACACGUGGAUAACCUCCUAUAAGACUGGGGUACCUUCGGGAAACCGGAGAUCAACCGGAUACUUGUUGCUUGUUCCGCGCUGCAUUAGCUAGUUGGUAAGGUAACGGCUUACAAAGGCAACGAUGCAUAGCCGACCUGCGAGGGUGAUCAGCCACACUGGAACUGAGACACGGUCCAGACUCCUACGGGAGGCAGCAGUAGGGAAUAUUCCGCAAUGGGCGAAAGCCUGACGGAGCCACGCCGCGUGAGUGAUGAAGGUCUUCGGAUCGUAAAGCUCUGUUAUUAGGGAAGCGGUACCUAAUCAGAAAGCAACGGCUAACGACGUGCCAGCAGCCGCGGUAAUAC
rnacentral:rRNA from 1 species